GAUGAAGAACGCAGCGAAAUGCGAAAAGUAAUGUGAAUUGCAGAAUUCAGUGAAUCAUCGAAUCUUUGAACGCACAUUGCGCCCGCUGGUACUCCGGCGGGCACGCCUGUCCGAGCGUCAUUUCAACCCUCAAGCCCUCCUUCGGGAUGGGCCUGGUGUUGGGGCUCGGCCGCCAUCUCCGGCGGCCGUCCCCUAAAUACAGUGGCGGUCACGUCGCGACUCCUUUGCGUAGUAGAAACACCUCGCUCCGGAUAGCAACGCGGUCCACGCCGUAAAAUCCCCAAUUUUCAAUGGUUGACCUCGGAUCAGGUGGGAAUACCCGCUGAACUUAAGCAUAUCAAUAAGCGAGGA
rnacentral:misc_RNA from 1 species